CUCAAAGAUUUAAGCCAUGCAUGUCUAAGUAUAAGCAAUUAUACCGCGAAACUGCGAAUGGCUCAUUAUAUAAGUUAUCGUUUAUUUGAUAGUACCUUACUACUUGGAUAACCGUGGUAAUUCUAGAGCUAAUACAUGCUAAAAAUCCCGACUUCGGAAGGGAUGUAUUUAUUAGAUUAAAAACCAAUGCCCUUCGGGGCUCACUGGUGAUUCAUGAUAACUCCUCGAAUCGCAUGGCCUUGUGCCGGCGAUGGUUCAUUCAAAUUUCUUCCCUAUCAACUUUCGAUGUUUGGGUAUUGGCCAAACAUGGUUGCAACGGGUAACGGAGGGUUAGGGCUCGACCCCGGAGAAGGAGCCUGAGAAACGGCUACUACAUCCAAGGAAGGCAGCAGGCGCGCAAAUUACCCAAUCCCGACACGGGGAGGUAGUGACAAUAAAUACUGAUACAGGGCUCUUUUGGGUCUUGUAAUUGGAAUGAGUACAAUUUAAAUCCCUUAACGAGGAACAAUUGGAGGGCAAGUCUGGUGCCAGCAGCCGCGGUAAUUCCAGCUCCAAUAGCGUAUAUUAAAGUUGUUGUGGUUAAAAAGCUCGUAGUUGAACCUUGGGCCUGGCUGGCCGGUCCGCCUCACCGCGUGUACUGGUCCGGCCGGGCCUUUCCCUCUGUGGAACCCCAUGCCCUUCACUGGGUGUGGCGGGGAAACAGGACUUUUACUGUGAAAAAAUUAGAGUGCUCCAGGCAGGCCUAUGCUCGAAUACAUUAGCAUGGAAUAAUAGAAUAGGACGUGUGGUUCUAUUUUGUUGGUUUCUAGGACCGCCGUAAUGAUUAAUAGGGACAGUCGGGG
rnacentral:rRNA from 1 species